rnacentral:rRNA from 1 species
AUGGCGGACGCCGUUGCUGGCGCCGUCGACUACCGCGGCCGGCCCGCCUCCCGCGCCGCCACCGGCGGCUGGAAGUCCUCGGUGUUCGUCAUGGCAAUGGAGAUCGCCGAGCGGUUCGCGUACAAGGGCGUGGCGGCGAACCUCAUCACGUACCUCACGGGGCCGCUGGGCCAGCCCAUGGCGCGCGCCGCGGCGUCCAUCGACGCCUGGAAGGGCGUCUCCCAGAUGCUGCCGCUGCCGGUGGCCUGCGUCGCCGACGCCUGGCUCGGCCGCUACCGGGCCAUCGUCCUCGCCUCCAUCCUCUUCGUCGUGAGCAUGGGCACGCUGUCGCUGUCGUCGGCGUUCCACAUCUUCCGCUCCGGCGGCCACGUGGCCGUCUUCUACGUCGCGCUCUACCUGGUGGCGCUGGGCGAGGGCGCGCACAAGCCCUGCGCGCAGGCGUUCGCGGCCGACCAGUUCGACGAGAAGGACCCCAAGGAGAACGUGGCGCGUAGCUCCUUCUUCAACUGGUGGUACUUCGGCAUGUGCGCCGGCACCGCCGUCACCACCAUGGUCUCGAGCUACGUCCAGGACAACGUCGGCUGGGGCCUCGGCUUCGGCAUCCCCUGCAUCGUCAUCCUCGUCUCCCUCGCCGUCUUCCUCAUUGGCACUCCCUCCUACCGCUACUACACCACCAAGGAGCCCAGCCCCGUCGCCCGCGUCGGCAAGGCGCUCCUGGUGCUCAUCAAGAGCUGGAGAUCAAAGCACCGCACCAAUCCGGCGAGCGGCAAGGUGGAGGCCAAGAACUCCGACGAGGACCUGGUGGAGGAGGUGAGGAGCGUCUUCCGCCUGCUGCCCAUCUGGGCGUCCUGCAUAAUCUACGCCAUCAUCUUCUCCCAGACCUCCACCUUCUUCACCAAGCAGGCGGCCACGCUGGACCGCCGGAUCGGCCCCAAGUUCAAGGUGCCGCCGGCGGCGCUGCAGACCUUCAUCAGCGUCAGCAUAGUGGCCUUCAUCCCGGUGUACGACCGCCUCUUCGUGCCGCUCGCGCGCCGCUACACGGGGCGGCCCACGGGCAUCACCAUGCUGCAGCGGGUCGGCGCCGGCCUCUCCCUCUCCCUCGUCGCCGUCGUGCUCUCGGCGCUCGUGGAGAUGAGGCGGCUCGGCGUCGCCAGGGACGCCGGCCUGGUGGACGCCCCCAAGGCGCACCUGCCCAUGACGCUCUGGUGGAUGGUGCCGCAGUACGUCCUCAUCGGCGUCUCCGACGUGUUCGCCAUGAUCGGCCUCCAGGAGUUCUUCUACGACCAGGUGCCCGACGCCGUGCGCAGCCUCGGCCUCGCGCUCUUCCUCAGCAUCUUCGGGGUGGGCCACCUCCUCAGCAGCUUCCUCAUCUCCGUCAUCGACAGGGCCACGGCGAAGCGCGGCGCCAGCUGGUUCUCCAACAACCUCAACCGCGCGCACCUCGACUACUUCUACUGGCUGCUCGCCGGACUCUGCGUCCUCGAGCUCGUCGCAUUCUUCUUCUUCUCGCGAGCCUAUGUGUACAAGAAGAAGAGCGACGAUGGCGAUUACAGGGGAGGUGAUGCAGAUGCUGAUGCUACAUUGGUGUAA